GACGAACGCUGGCGGCGUGCUUAACACAUGCAAGUCGAACGGAAAGGCCCUGCUUUUGUGGGGUGCUCGAGUGGCGAACGGGUGAGUAACACGCGAGUAACCUGCCCUUGACUUUGGUAUAACUUCAGGAAACUGGGGCUAAUACCGGAUAGGAGCUCCUGCUGCAUGGUGGGGGUUGGAAAUUUUCGGCGGUUGGGGAUGGACUCGCGGCUUAUCAGCUUGUUGGUGGGGUAGUGGCUUACCAAGGCUUUGACGGGUAGCCGGCCUGAGAGGGUGACCGGCCACAUUGGGACUGAGAUACGGCCCAGACUCCUACGGGAGGCAGCAGUGGGGAAUAUUGCACAAUGGGCGGAAGCCUGAUGCAGCAACGCCGCGUGCGGGAUGACGGCCUUCGGGUUGUAAACCGCUUUCGCCUGUGACGAAGCGUGAGUGACGGUAAUGGGUAAAGAAGCACCGGCUAACUACGUG
rnacentral:rRNA from 1 species